UGUCUUUCUCAUCGCCAUGGUGAGCUGCAGAGGUUUGUAUGGUGAGCAUUCUGGCUAGCGCCAAAUUUUCUCAUGAGACGAUCUGGCGCGCUUCAUCGAUUCGAUGAGAUGCCUUCCCAAGUAGCAGAGCCGAAGUUUUUCAGAGAUUUUUCUGUGUGCCAAAGCGAGAUGCCCUGAGAACUUCUCUCUCUAGAUUUUGGACAGCAAACCGCCGCGCGUGUAGAGGUGGGUGCGUGUGACGAAAAAUGAUGGAUGAAAAACGCGAGGAGCUGGGUCUGAAGUCUUUCGUUGGUCACACACACAUGCAUCUACCAGCGGAUUGCGCUACACCGAGUCUACCCAUCUCUCUCGAUCUACCAUGAUUUUUUCUGCUAUCGCACUCAUCCGGGUUUUAGGCAUCCUCAGUCUGCCCAGAACUUUCGUUGUGGAAAGAUGUGCGGGAGUGAUGUGCGAUUUCUUGUGGUCCCUACUUUCCUUGUUUACGUUUUGCGCAGUGUUGCUUCUUCUUCCAUUGUGGAAUGAUUUAUCCUAGCUAACUUGUUGAGUUACAGGUGCAUGCGCCAUUCAUCAACGCCUACGUGUUGGCAUCAUCAACAAUCUUUAAAGUGGGUGACGAAAAGAAAUUGUUUUCCAGUUUUAAAAUAUUAAGCGUUCAGCACAACUCAGCCACAAAACAACGCACUGGAUUACGCUAAGAACCUGUCGAAACGCGCGCAGCCCCCGGGAGCGGUAGGAGAAAGGAAGAACGAGAGGAGGAAAAACUAAAGCCAGCGCGCAGCUCUGAUGGUACCCCGGACGCGGUAAGAAGAAAAAAGAUCGAGAGGAGGAAGAAGGGUAAAUUUGGAAGGGGGAGA